AUGAACACGGACAUCACCGCGUCGGUGAAGCCGGAGUACCCGGUGGUGGACCGGAACCCUCCCUUCACCAAAGUCGUCGGCAACUUCUCCACGCUCGACUACCUCCGCCUCUCCACCAUCUCCGCCGUCUCCGUCACCGUCGGCUACCUCUCCGGGAUCAAGCCGGGGAUCCGCGGGCCGUCGAUGGUGACGGGGGGCCUCAUCGGCGUCCUGGGCGGGUUCAUGUACGCCUACCAGAACUCCGCCGGGAGCCUCAUGGGGUUCUUCCCCAACGAGUCCGAGGUCGCGCGCUACAAGUACAGCUGUAGUAGCAGGAGGCGCCAUUUCUCCUCGCUUCGCUACCGCAAAAGUGUUACAGUACAUCUUUUUUUCUUUCUAUAUCUAAUCUCGUGUGAGCUGCACUUGCUGUGGGCAAUGCGUGAUCUUGGUUGA
rnacentral:rRNA from 1 species